GUGAAUCACAGGUCGGCGGGAGCCUUUUUUCCUUUUUUUUUUUUUUUUUUUCCGGGGAGUCGGCCUCGGGGCUCUGCUCUCCUACCUCAGUCUGCCCUACACUGGAAUGGGGAAAAUGCGGACAUGCUACUCAGUCCGGCCGCGAACAGUGCUCCAGAACUCAGAGAGUUUUCCAGACGGGUGGAGAUCGCGUUCCCUGCCCGCGGAGGUCCCAUCGCUUCCCUACUGGGAAGACAAAUGAGGCGCUUUAGCCGUCUCCACGGCCAGCCCCUCCCUCAUAACCCGAGAUUCCUUGUGGGCUCUUAGUCCAUAACUGCCUUUGAGGUGGUGUAGACCUUGCUAACCAGGACGGCCCAGUAGGCAGAGCUCAUUUUUAUUCCUGUCUGCAAUCGUGCAAAAACGCCUCUUAUGGAAGAGGCAGAGCGCCAGGAGUCAGCAAAACACACUAAAGAUUGGGCAGACACUGGGGAGAACACUCAGCCCGCCUGCACCCAGGUGAAAUAUACAGCCUUGUUGCUCACACAAAGCCUAUUUGGUGGUUUCUUCACACAGACGCAUGUGACAUUUGGUGCUGAAGACCCAGGACAGGAGGACUCCUUUGGGAGACCAGUCCCCUGUUAUCGCCCUCACUCCGUGAGGAGAUCCACCUAUGAUCUCAGGUCCUCAGACCAACCAGCCCAAGGAACAUCUCACCAAUUUCAAAUAGGGUUGUCAGAAUCUGCAGAGAAGCUUCCUCUAAUCUCCAGCCUGAGAGUUCAGACCUGGUUACCAGCAUUCUAGAAGCUGAAAGAGGAGAAGUUCUUGGAAGACUAAGAAGUCCAACAUUCAAAAGCAUCUUACUAUGUUGCCCAGGCUGUUUCAAACUCCUGGGCUUGCAUGGACACGGUGGCUCAUGCCUGUAACCCCAACACUUUGGGGAGGUUGAGGCGGGUGAAUCUGAGAUCAGGAGUUCGAGACCAGCCUGGCCAACAAGGCCUCCCCUUAUGUAUCACUUCUUCAGAAAUGACUUCCGUGACCACAUCUGAGGCACAGUGGCUCACACCUGUAAUCCCAGCACUUUGGGAGGCUGAGGCAGGAGAAUCGCUUGAACCCAGGCGGCACAGGUUGCAGUGAGCUGAGAUCGCACCACUGCACUCCAGCCUGGGCAGCAGAGCGAGACUCCAUUUCAAAAAUAAAAAAAAAAAAAAAAA
rnacentral:lncRNA from 1 species